GGGUGCGAUCAUACAAGCACAAGUGCACCGAAUCCCAUCAGAACUCCGAAGUUAAACGCGCUUUAGCGAGCGCAGUACUAAGAUGGGUGACCUCUUGGGAAGUCCUCGUGUUGCACCCC